ensembl:snoRNA SNORA73 Small nucleolar RNA SNORA73 family
CUGAUGCGGAUACUCCCUGGAGGUCACUCUCCCCCAGGUUCUGUCCAGGUGACAUAGGGGAGCACAGGGCCCUGACCCAUGAUGUACAGUCCUUUUCCACAAGGUCGGAGAUCAAGCUGGGCCUUGAGUCUGUGCCUGCACAUUCCUAUAGCUUUUCAGAGUCCUGUGGGCAAUGACUGAGGAGGCAAACUGUUCAGGAAACAGCC